AAUCCAUGGUGAGGACACUGUCUUAAUAAUUUUUAAAUCUAUUUCAUACUUCAAAUAGUGAUUCUCCAUCUUUCUAAGUAAAAUUUAUGAUGUAAUUCCUCAUGUAU